AAACCAUGGUGAGGACAUCUUCAUUGUAACUCCUGAUAAUGCUCCCAAGCUUCGUACAAUGUCUCUCCUUCCUGUUGAUGGAAACUUGUUAUAUUGAUGCAAAGUUU